CCGACAGCUCUCAGAGCAGAUCCUGCGCAUCAUUCUGCCCAAGCCCUCCCGGAGUUGGCGUCGUGCAAUUUGUUCUGAAACUUCAGCCUCCACCUUGGUGGUGGCUUUUCUUCUCCUAGAAGCCAACAGAAUGUGGCAUUUGGAUUGUGUCUGAGGACAGUGAUGGCCCCAGUGGUGCAUGAAUGAAGCCGGCCAGGCCUCAUAACUUCAAAUUUCUCCAGUCAUUGCCACAAGGUCAAGGUGGCACACUGCUGAUGACACCAAGGCCUUGAAAAGACUUGUGCCACCAGGCAACUUCCCUGUCCUGGAAUUGCAGAUACCUAGGAUGAGUCAAACUGAAGUGGGCAUCAGGAAAGUGACAUUCAUAAGUGACUCACCAGGGAAGAAGAGACGCACAUUGGCUGCUGCUGCCUUUGAUAACGACUAUUUCUCAUCUACAUCCUGCUGUGUGUUCUGCUGUGUGUUCUUCAUGGGGUCCACUUGUUGGAGUAAGAGGUCUAAAAUUCGCCAGCCCUUCUCCCUGGGUAGAGCACUCUCUUGCCUCCUUACCUUCUUGAUGGGGCAGACUUCUGCUUGCUCAGUAAGAAUCUCUGGCCAGGGCAAACUUUUUUGGUGGUUUGGUGACUUCCACUCCUAAGAUUAAUUUUGAGCUGUGGAACUGAAGAAUAUUCCUUCUCCUAUAGAGCUGUUCCAGGUAACACUGUCACCGCUAUUCACUUUGAAUUUGUGUAUGUUGUCCUGGUGUCAUUCUAUGUGGGUGGAGAAGUCCCUACCCAGCCACAAUCACAUCCUCAAAUUGGUCUAACUUCAGCUAAGAGUGGAGUGCCCUGGACCAGGCAUCAGCUGGCUCUUCUAAAGAUUCUUGUGAGACCUAGGCCACCUGCUCAGUUUCCCAGUGCCUACAUCUCUACAUCUAUAACAUAAAGACAAUUCAAACUUUGAUUUCAGCUUCUGGGAAUAAAAUUGAACUGUGUAUGAACAUUGAUGUUCCCAUGGCAACAGUCAUGUCAGGUAUCUAGUAUGCCACUGGAACAAUACAUUAUUUGUAAUAAGUACUUGUAGAGUCUCCUGACACAGAAGAAAAGACUCUUACAGGAAACCUGGAGGGUUUACUUCUACAUUAAUUUGCAUUCAUUAUCUCAGGAGACUUCAUCAUGCUUCUCCAAACUAUCUGGUUCUCAAUUUGCAGAAUAAAAUGAAUUAGUACACCCUGGAGCCAUUGAAUCCACAAGCAAUAUGAAUGCAGCUAUGGUUAGAAUAAAGAGAAAGAGACUGGCCUCCUGCUAACAUCACAGGGGAGUCCCUGGGAAUGGUUGAUGAGGGUGGAAAGGGUUCCAACUCAGCCAACUGAAGGGAACAGAAAUGUCAGGUCUACAAAACAACUUAUUGAAAUGUCAUUAUCAUUAUU
ensembl:lincRNA